rnacentral:lncRNA from 1 species
CAGGGGAUAUGGUGCGUUUUAGAAGAAAAGUUAGACUGGAAAUUGACCUCUCAGAAGUGAGGUGUAUUUCUGUUAGACCAAUGGACCCUGAGCUUUUCUGCAAAAAGAUCCAAUGGUUCUGGAAUGCAAAAAGGAAGACAUCACUUUCUCAUUCAACUGUCAAAGCACUGCUCGUUGUGUCCUCAGUUUUAUCUGAUUCUCCAAACUCAAAGAUAAAUUAGGUAAUU